GACGAACGCUGGCGGCGUGCUUAACACAUGCAAGUCGAGCGGUAAGGCCCUUUCGGGGGUACGACGAGCGGCGAACGGGUGAGUAACACGUGGGUGACCUGCCCUCAGCUCUGGGAUAAGCCUGGGAAACCGGGUCUAAUACUGGAUAUGACUCCAUGACGCAUGUUGUGGGGUGGAAANCCUUGUGCGGCUGAGGAUGGGCCCGCGGCCUAUCAGCUUGUUGGUGGGGUGAGGCCUACCAAGGCGACGACGGGUAGCCGGCCUGAGAGGGCGACCGGCCACACUGGGACUGAGACACGGCCCAGACUCCUACGGGAGGCAGCAGUGGGGAAUCUUGCGCAAUGGGCGAAAGCCUGACGCAGCGACGCCGCGUGAGGGAUGACGGCCU
rnacentral:rRNA from 1 species